AGUCCAGCUGUUAUCCAGAGGAGCAUGUGUGUGUUCCCACCCAAGAUUACGCGUACGUGUGUCGGCACCGUGAUUCAUCCCGCAGCUGCCCCCCCCCCACCCCCGACAGGCCGCGGCUCUGUCGUCACUGCACAGCCCCCACAGCAAGAGGCCAGGCCAGGAGCACAGCUGGCCAGACUUGGUGGAGCCAGUCGACAGGCGCAUGGAGCGCAGCCCGCCCAGGGCCCGCUUCCUCCACAAACAUGCCCAGGUGUGGGGCCUCCGAGCUGGGCUUCUGAUCUCUAAACAGCACAGUGUGUGCGUGCAUGUGUGACGUGUAGGGAGGGAUGAUAGGAUGAGGGAUCAAGAAGGCAGAAGCGGGGAUAUGGUGUGUAUGUGUGUGUGUGUGUGAGCGAGUGCGGGGAAAGGGGGGGGGGGGGCGGGUCAUCCCUGCCGAAGCUGUGUCAACAUUGCGUGUUAAUGUGUUUGAGUAUGUGCAUCUGUAUCUGCAUGUGUUUGCAUUUCGGGAAGCGGGGUCACUCCUGGGGUAGACAGUGGGCAACAACAAUUACCGCAGCACUGGAGCAGAAUCGUGUCUGAAUCGUUUGUGCCGGCCCACUGUGGCUUUGUGCCAUGAGUGUCAUUGCAGAAACAUUGGUUUUAAGCAUCAUGCAUGAAAAGGUCAUGGAAGCCAUAGCAGAUAUUUAGUUCAUGCCGAGCUGCGGCCUUAAAUGAAAACCCUCUGCAACAUCUCCCGUUCAGAACUCGCUUAUUAAUCACUUCAUAAAUCACCACCGCAAAAGAACAAAUCCAUUCUACAAUGUUGCCUUAUUUGAUAUGUGACCCUCAGCGGGUUACGACUAAUGGCGACCUCAUUCUGGCCUGGUUGCCAUCCAAAAAAAGCAUUUGUGUAUUCCCAGCUACUUUCCAACGCACCUAAAUGCGCACACGAACGAGUCCACGGUGCACCAAAUGAAACAGGAGGCGUUUGCACUGAGGUCACAUCAGAUAAGACGAGGCCAGACGGGCUCAGAUAAGCUCUUUGAACGCAGAGUCAGCAUCGGGGAGAUGUUCUCUGCUCCCCUGCAGCCGUUUCACAUGGCGGCUGACGCCGGCUGAUGCUGGCUCCUUUGCGGCCUAGCACUGCUACUAAUUAGGUGGAGGAACCCAAGGCCUUCUGACUGACUGCCUUGUCUAUUGCAAUCCCCCCACUCGGGAUUGCUCAUGCAUGCAUGACAGACACUCACGCAAAAACAUGCUCAGCAGACUCACAGACUCCUAUCUGUUGACGACCCCUGGAGAAUCACACAUGGUGGAGGUGGCCCUCUUGUGGACGAAGAGAAAAGACAGCACUGCUAAUUGUUAGAUCGUGUGAAUAAUUGCGGUUUGUACUUUCCCUACGCCGCUUUGAACUUGGCACUGUCUGUCAGCAGCCUGACAUUCAGUCUAUUAUCUAUUGCUUGCUUAUUGCAAAACAAUAAAGGCUCACAUAGAAGUAUUUUUUAAAUGAUGCACUUUGAAUACCAUUAGGAACAGACUGAACUGAAUGAAUACAAGUAUUUGAUAGGAAUAAAAGCAAGACUAACCCCUACUCUCCAAGUCUGUAUCCAUAUUUGCUGUAUAAAUUUGAUUAUGGUCGCCA